rnacentral:rRNA from 1 species
UACAGAGGGUGCAAGCGUUGUUCGGAAUUAUUGGGCGUAAAGCGCGUGUAGGCGGCUUUGCAAGUCGGGUGUGAAAGCCCUCAGCUCAACUGAGGGAGUGCGCCCGAAACUGCAUGGCUUGAGUACCGGAGAGGAUGGUGGAAUUCCCCAAGUAGAGGUGAAAUUCGUAGAUAUGGAGAGGAACACCGGUGGCGAAGGCGACCAUCUGGACGGAUACUGACGCUGAGACGCGAAAGCGUGGGUAGCAAACAGG